GUGCUAAUACAUGCAAGUCGAGCGAACAGAUAAGGAGCUUGCUCCUUUGACGUUAGCGGCGGACGGGUGAGUAACACGUGGGUAACCUACCUAUAAGACUGGAAUAACUCCGGCAAACCGGGGCUAAUGCCGGAUAACAUAUAGAACCGCAUGGUUCUAUAGUGAAAGAUGGUUUUGCUAUCACUUAUAGAUGGACCCGCGCCGUAUUAGCUAGUUGGUAAGGUAAUGGCUUACCAAGGCGACGAUACGUAGCCGACCUGAGAGGGUGAUCGGCCACACUGGAACUGAGACACGGUCCAGACUCCUACGGGAGGCAGCAGUAGGGAAUCUUCCGCAAUGGGCGAAAGCCUGACGGAGCAACGCCGCGUGAGUGAUGAAGGGUUUCGGCUCGUAAAACUCUGUUAUUAGGGAAGAACAUAUGUGUAAGUAACUGUGCACAUCUUGACGGUACCUAAUCAGAAAGCCACGGCUAACUACGUGCCAGCAGCCGCGGUAAUACGUAGGUGGCAAGCGUUAUCCGGAAUUAUUGGGCGUAAAGCGCGCGUAGGCGGUUUCUUAAGUCUGAUGUGAAAGCCCACGGCUCAACCGUGGAGGGUCAUUGGAAACUGGGAAACUUGAGUGCAGAAGAGGAAAGUGGAAUUCCAUGUGUAGCGGUGAAAUGCGCAGAGAUAUGGAGGAACACCAGUGGCGAAGGCGACUUUCUGGUCUGUAACUGACGCUGAUGUGCGAAAGCGUGGGGAUCAAACAGGAUUAGAUACCCUGGUAGUCCACGCCGUAAACGAUGAGUGCUAAGUGUUAGGGGGUUUCCGCCCCUUAGUCGCUGCAGCUAACGCAUAAGCACUCCGC
rnacentral:rRNA from 1 species